CAGCACCCCUGCCUCAUUAACCAGAUGGCUGGGAUAAGACUCUUGAUUUUGAAAAUUCAACAACCAGAGUUCAGCUAUUUGCAGUGAUUUGCAGUCAUUUGUCACUAUCAAAAAGGAAAAUAACUAAAAUGUGGUGUGUUGGCAUUAGUUACUUACUAAUGAGCAAGAUCAGCACCUGCAUUUCAGCUUGGCUCUGUCAUUUUCUAUUUAUUGGAAGAAUGGUGUUGUGGUUAAGUGUGUGGUGUGUAGAGGAAGACUAUUUGUUUUUUUGUCUUGUUUUGUUUUUAUUGAAAUAUAGCAUGCAUACUGAAAAAUGCACAAAUCAUAUGUGCAGAGCUCACUGAAUUUCACAGAAUGAAUACACCCAUGCAAUAGCACUCAGAUCAAGAGACAGAACAUUAGCAGCACCCCCAGAAGGACCACCCCCAGGAUCCCUUCCAGUAACCACACCCCCUCCAGUAGAAACUAUUAUCCUUACUUCUAACAUCACAGAUUACUUUUGCUUGGUUUUGUAACUUAUAUAAAUGAAAUCACACCAUAUCUACUCUUCGUGAUUAUUUUCACUCAACAUUAUGUUUGUGAUAUCCAUUCGUAUUGUUACAAUAGUUGUUGUUGGUUAACUCUCAUUGCUGUAUAGUAUUACAUUGUGUAAAUAUACCAAAAUUUAUUUAUUCAAUUCAUUGUACUAUUCAUGGUUAUUAGUUUGCAAUUAUUGGCAAUUAUGAAUAAUGCUGCUAUAACCAUUUCUUUAUAUUCUUUGUAGUGAACAUGCAUGUAUUUCUGUUGUUAUAUAUUUAGGAAUGAAACUGCUGUGUCAUUUUGUGUGCAUAUAUUCAAAUAUAAUAGUUGUUGCCAAACACUUUUUCAAAGUGGUUGUACCACUUUGCAUUUCCACCAGCAGUGUAUGAGUGUUCUAGUUGCUCUAAAUUCUCACCAACACUUGGCAUUUUGGUAUUUUUUAUUUUAGCCAAUGUGGUGAUCAUGUGGUGACCUCUCAUUAUGGUUUCCUUUUGCAUUUCUCUGAUGACUAAUGAAAUUGAGAAUCUUUUCAAUAUAUGUUGACUGGCCAUUGUACAUCUUGUUUUGUUUGUCUUUUAGAUGUCUUUUGUCAUUGAUUUGUAAGGGCUCUUUAUGUAUUCUGGAUAUGAAUCUUUUGUCAAAUAUAUGCAUUGCAAAUAUAUACUUUUUUACUUAUUGAUAUCUUUAAUUUGUUUUAAGAAAAUUUUUAAUUUUUAUGGAAAUUUUAUAGAAAUGCUGAAAAUCAAACGUUAUCUGCAGUGGUAACAGUCUGACUUCUAAACUGCUAUAUGUAAUAGAAGAACAAUACAUAAUUGUUGUAUAUAUUUAUGAGGUACAUGUAAUAUUUUGAUACAAGCAUAAAAUAUGUAAUGAUUGUUGAUCUCUUUUAAUGAACAGAAUUCCUUAAUCAUAA
rnacentral:lncRNA from 10 species